rnacentral:rRNA from 1 species
UGGUGGAGUGAUUUGUCUGCUUAAUUGCGAUAACGAACGAGACCUUAACCUGCUAAAUAGCCCGGCCAGCUUUGGCUGGUCGCCGGCUUCUUAGAGGGACUAUCGGCUCAAGCCGAUGGAAGUUUGAGGCAAUAACA